UACAGAGGUGGCAAGCGUUGUUCGGAAUUACUGGGCGUAAAGGGCGCGUAGGCGGCCUGCUAAGUCGGAUGUGAAAUCCCUCGGCUCAACCGAGGAACUGCAUCCGAUACUGGCGGGCUUGAAUCCGGGAGAGGGAUGUGGAAUUCCAGGUGUAGCGGUGAAAUGCGCAGAUAUCAGGAGGAACACCGGUGGCGAAGGCGGGUCUCUGGGCCGAAACUGACGCUGAGGAGCGAAAGCGUGGGGAGCGAACAGG
rnacentral:rRNA from 1 species